AUUGAACGCUGGCGGCAUGCUUUACACAUGCAAGUCGAACGGCAGCGCGGGCUUCGGCCUGGCGGCGAGUGGCGAACGGGUGAGUAAUGCAUCGGAACGUGCCCAGUAGUGGGGGAUAGCCCGGCGAAAGCCGGAUUAAUACCGCAUCCGCCCGGAGGGUGAAAGCGGGGGACCGAAAGGCCUCGCGCUAUUGGAGCGGCCGAUGUCGGAUUAGCUAGUUGGUGGGGUAAAGGCUUACCAAGGCGACGAUCCGUAGCUGGUCUGAGAGGACGACCAGCCACACUGGGACUGAGACACGGCCCAGACUCCUACGGGAGGCAGCAGUGGGGAAUUUUGGACAAUGGGGGCAACCCUGAUCCAGCCAUGCCGCGUGCGGGAAGAAGGCCUUCGGGUUGUAAACCGCUUUUGUUCGGGAAGAAAUCCUCUGGGCUAAUACCCCGGGGGGAUGACGGUACCGGAAGAAUAAGCACCGGCUAACUACGUG
rnacentral:rRNA from 1 species